UUGGAGGGCAAGUCUGGUGCCAGCAGCCGCGGUAAUUCCAGCUCCAAUAGCGUAUAUUAAAGUUGUUGCAGUUAAAAAGCUCGUAGUUGAAUUUCGGGGUUAGUAGGUUGGUCGUGCCUCAGGUAUGUACUGAUCUCACUGAUUCCUCCUUCCUGAUGAACCGUAAUGCCAUUAAUUUGGUGUUGCGGGGAAACUGGACUGUUACUUUGAAAAAAUUAGAGUGUUUAAAGCAGGCUAACGCUUGAAUACAUUAGCAUGGAAUAAUGAAAUAGGACGUUCGAUCCUAUUUUGUUGGUUUCUAGGAUUGACGUAAUGAUUAAUAGGGAUAGUUGGGGGCAUUAGUAUUCAAUUGUCAGAGGUGAAAUUCUUGGAUUUAUUGAAGACUAACUACUGCGAAAGCAUUUGCCAAGGAUGUUUUCAUUAAUCAAGAACGAAAGUUAGGGGAUCGAAGACGAUCAGAUACCGUCGUAGUCUUAACCAUAAACUAUGCCGACUAGGGAUCGGACGAUGUUAACUUUUCUUGACCCGUUCGGCGCCUUACGGGAAA
rnacentral:rRNA from 1 species